UAGGGAAUCUUCCGCAAUGGACGCAAGUCUGACGGAGCAACGCCGCGUGAGUGAAGAAGGAUUUCGGUUCGUAAAACUCUGUUGUUAGAGAAGAACAGCGCAUAGAGUAACUGUUAUGCGUGUGACGGUAUCUAACCAGAAAGCCACGGCUAACUACGUGCCAGCAGCCGCGGUAAUACGUAGGUGGCAAGCGUUGUCCGGAUUUAUUGGGCGUAAAGCGAGCGCAGGCGGUCAAUUAAGUCUGAUGUGAAAGCCCCCGGCUCAACCGGGGAGGGUCAGUGGAAACUGGUUGACUUGAGUGCAGAAGAGGGGGGUGGAAUUCCAUGUGUAACGGUGAAAUGCGUAGAUAUAUGGAAGAACACCGGUGGCGAAGGCGACUCUCUGGUCUGUAUCUGACGCUGAGGUUCGAAAGCGUGGGUAGCAAACAGG
rnacentral:rRNA from 1 species